CUAAUUCUGACACCUUAUCUGGAAGACGCCAAUUUUCCCGUGUCAUGUUGUGGAAGAUGGAACAAUUGAAGAUACAGAUAUAGACAGAUAGAUCAGACUCACCUAUGCACUCCUAUCAGAAGCUGAAGGGGCAGGGGGAGGAGUAGAACCUCUUCUAAGCUGGCCUGUGACCUGAACACAAGAUCUCUUGGUAAGAGGGAGCUUAUAUUUAACUCCUCCUGCCCGAUUUGCUGCCUCAUGUUAAAGUCCUGUUCUGCUGAAGGUCCUGUUCUGACUAACACGCCCUGUGGCAGCAAUUGGAAACCUCUCCGAACGAUGCAGGUGGAGGAAUUUUGGCCUGUAACGCUUCUCUCCAUUUCCAUUCUCUAAAGGAAGAAACAAUUCCGCCAUCGCUCCUUUCUCUAGGCAAAAAUUGACCCUAUUCAGGAGGAAGAGUUUUGUGUGUUGGCGAGCGAGUGCACUCCCCCACACACACAAAUGCGUCCAUGUCCUCUCCUCUCCAAAGCCAAUGUGAUCUUCUUGUCAAUCUGCAUUUCUUAGUACAAAAGUGUGCAGAGAUCUUUCCUAUUCUACUUAAUUCAAGAGGGUUCUGGAAGCUUCUCUGUGUGAAAGAAACAAGCAGAAGAGUGCUGUCCUGCCUGCCCCCAAGCUGCCUAGGACCCUCGUACCUAUGGGACCGCCUCUCCUGGUAUGUCCCAUGGAGGACCUUACAGUCUUCAAACAAAAACGUCUUGGAGGUCCCAAGUCGCAAGGUGGUUAGAUUGGUCUCAACUAGGCCAGGGCCUUUUCAGUACUGGUCCCGACUUGGUGGAACACUCUGUCACAAGAGACCAGGGCCCUGUGGGACUUGACAUCUUUCCGCAGGGCCUGCAAGACAGAGCUGUUCCACCAGGCCUUUGGCCUAAGCACAGUCUGACCCCUUCCUUUGGUAAUCCUCACAGAACUCUAGCCCAAUGGUUACCAUUAAUUUGAUUUUGAAUUGAUUUUAAAAUGAAUUGAUUUUAGAAUGCUGUGUUACUUUUAUUGUUGUUAGCCGCUCUGAGCCCGGCUUCGGCUGGGGAGGGCUGGAUAUAAAUAAAAUUAUUAUUAUUA